GUUUUCUUUUUUUUCUUUUUUUUUUUCUUCACAGGCCUUUCUCUUCUCCUUCAUCACCUUUCUCCCAAAGCUGGCUCACCUCUUCUCAUUCAUGAAGAUUUCUUCACUUAGUUGCCCUUUUGCCAAACAACCUGGUUUUAUCUCUCAGGUCACUAAAAUUCCAUACAUACCUGUUCAAUUUGAUAGUUCAGAAUUCGGAAUUAGGGUAUUGUGAAGAAAGAGAAUUUUAAAAGAAUUAGGGUAUUGCGUUGCCACCUCGUUACAAAAAAUUCCUUUUUCUUCCACGCAAUCCAAUACCCAAUAGCCCAAACCCCUCUCCAUCGUCUUUUCAUUUCCUCUGCCUUUUGUUUUUUUAAGAAAAAAAAAACAUUACAUUACUCAAAAAUUUAAUUUAAUAUCCUUUUUCAACCUUCUCGUUGUUAUUUCUUUUUGUUCCUUUGGUGUUUCUUCAACCCUUGUUUUAUGUUUCCGCGAACCAGAGAAUCAGCCAAACUAUUUUUCUAGAUUGUUAAGGCUUCAGAAGAAGCUGCGUACGUCAGAGACCUCUCAGAUGAUUUGCUGCAGCCAACUACAAAACGGUCUUACAAUGUCUCAACCAAGGAAGUCAUAUUCUGGAAAAAUUUUAAGUGCCAACAAUUGAAGUGUUCCCUGCAGCUGCUCUAACACCUGCACUAGCAGCACCAGAGAUGAGAAUGAGCUGAGGGAGGAAUCAGAAGCCCUUUGUUGGAGAACCCGAAUAUAUCCCCCUAGAAAGGCUUGCCAGACAAGGCAUCAACAACAAGAUUUGCAUUUGGUUGGGUGGGUUCUUCCCUGUGGUACUGUCAAAUAGCUGGUGAAAAUCUGAGAGUUUUGAUAUGUUUGCCUGCAUUUGGGAAGCUUCACAAAAAAGUAUUGCAGAUGUGUUCUGUGGGUUUGGGUUAUCAAAUGUUGAACUAAGCGAGCUUGUCUUGUCCUGUGCUCCCUUUUUGCUUUGUAUAAACAUUCUUUUUGGAAAAAGGAAUAUAUAUAUUUAGGAAUCAAUUUCUAAAAUGAUUAAUAGGAAGAGUAACUCUUGGAAUCCGUCAUUUCUAUUACAAUAGUCUUGAUAUUACAGAUAAUAAAAUUCAAACCAUGCCAUGGGCAGCGAUUCUUGAAAAGGUUGUCCAGCUACAAAGUUUGCAACAACUUUGUGUGGUUAAGGAUCUUUUUGCUCAUGAUGUGGUGAUGCAAUUGAUGCAGAAGGAAAACUACUUGAUCGGAAUGCUUAACAAGGGAGUACUUGCAUUUCCAAUCUCAAAAUGGGUCCCUGGUGCUGGUCCAACUGUCAAAUCUGGUUCAAAGGGAAAGUGUCGUCGUUUGAUACUGACUAAAACCCUUGAGUGGACCUUAAAUUGGUGCAUACUACAGAGCAUGUUUGAUAGUGGAGUUAGAAGGUUUGAAAAAAGCACACAUUCAAGAUGGCGUUGGAGUGGUGCAAUAUCUUGUCUGGUUGGAUAAGCAGGAGAUAUAUGGGGUUUCUGGUUACUUCUUGGAGGGAGACAAAGUGACUAAGAAAAAGCAAUUGUCCUCAAGGGUCAUAUUACACUUGGGAAUGCUCAAUUUCCUAAUGGAACCAAUGGUAUUUUAUUUUAUUUUUUAAAUUAUGUAUUUCAUUUUAAGUGAAAUGUAUUGACUAUAUUCUUCUAAGUUUGUGUGAUAGGAAGGUACAUGUUCAUUUUCCUACAAGUAAUGCCCUAAACAUUCUUGCUUGAGUUCCACUAUAGAAAAAUGGUCUUGAUUAUCGGCAUGGUACAGGCCACGGAAUUGGGUUUUACCUUAAUGUUCAUGAAGGCAAGUGUAUUUUACUACUUUCCUCUAUUAUUACUGGGUAUGAGCUAUUGUCUCAAUUGUUAUAUUUGAACCUUUAUACUUCUUUAUGGAUACUAUAGGUAUUUAAUUAUUUUAUUUGAAACUUGUAUACUAAAUAUUGUAACUAACCGCAGACAUUUCAUAUUGUUUUGAUAACAUAUCAUUCCGUCUUCAGUUUUUGGUUCA